GACGAAGCGAAGAAGAAACUGCCUGCAGUUCAGUGAACUACAAUGUAAACAGUUAUAAUUUAAUAAGGAAUUUAUCGCUAUUUGAGGAAAGAUACAGUUGUAAAACGCUUGCUAAACAUCAUUGGCAAGAUGACCUUCCCGCUAUUGAUUCAGACAGUGAGAUAGAGGAAGAGAAUUCAGCUUCAAAAGAACUCACCGACUUUCUAAAUCCUGUUGCUUCACCAACCAAGAUUUCAGUCUACUCCUCUUAUGAUGAUAAAAAAAAAAAAAAAUUGAUAAUGAUGACGAUUCAGAAGAAAGCUGCGCAGACUCUUCGUUUCUGGACGCAGCUGAGACCCGCAGGCAGUCGGUCAGUGAGUGGGUGCGAUCUGCUCAGGCGAUUCUUCAGACACCUCAGAUAAGACCCCAGAGGACUCGAGUAAAAAGAGGAGGAGGUUUGAAAGUAUGAUGCAUGGGGACAUCUUGCUUGAAAAGGCUGAACCGACUCUACAGCAGUCAAAGAUCAGCCAUCAGCUUCUGGAGACAUCCGUGCAACUCAACCACAUCAGCUGGUCAGUGAGUUGAACAGAUGAGGAGUACCUAAGUCUCUGCUGGACGCAGUGGAGGAUUGUGGGUCGUCGGGGCCUCCAUCAGAAGAAUCAGCACCACCGCAAAUCAUCGGCAAGUACUGGACCUCUGUUUCAUUUCUCUGGUUUCAAUAACUUUGUUACUUUGGAGGAAGAAAACCCCGGAAAAGUCCUGUAUAGUGUCGCAGCUUGCAAAUCUUUUUUAAACAAACACACACACACAUAAAAAACACUGUUUUAGUCAAAGAUCAUCUAAAGUUCUUGAAGAAAUGUGCUGUUUAAUAAAUGUGUUUAAAUUAAUAUAUACAUUACCGUUUAAAAGUUUGGGGUUGGUAGGUCUCUUCUGCUCAUAAUUGCUACAUUUAUUUCAAUGCAUUUGUAAAAACAGUAAUAUUGCAAAAUAUUAUUGCAAUUUAUUAUUUUAAUUUUUCGUUUUUACUUUUAAGUGUUAUUCAUUCCUACAGCAUUUAUUUGAAAUAGAGAUAUUUCUCUUUACUCUCACUUCUGAUCAAUUUAAUUUCUUUAAUAAAUACCUUUUUGACCCAAAACAGUAGUGAGUACAUGCACACACUAUAUAUAUACGGUAUAUAUUAUAUUUUUGGGUGUAUUGUUCUUGUAAGCCUAUAGCGCUUUUAUUACCUCCACAAUAUAUAUCAAUGCAUUUCAAAGCAGCUUUUCGUAGUUUAAUUUUAAUUCUUAAAAACUUGCAUGUUUUCCCUCACAUUUCCACUUUGUAACUGUUACCAGCACAGACACUUGAGCUCUCUGUAAAUAAACACAAUGUGCAGUUUAUCAGCAGCUCUUCUUAUCCAGUAACCAGACAAACUAGUUUGACAAACCAGAUACCAGUUAGAUCUCAGCUUUUACUCUAAUUUGCUUCUAAUAAAACCUAUGUGAAUUGAUUGGGAAUGUGCUUGAGGUCAUAAUAAAAUACAAUAACAUGCAUGACAGGUUCAAAUCACACAGAAUGAGCGUCAGAAUGAUCUAGAAUGUGCUUCGUCGAUCUGAGACGGUGCAUCUUUGUACGUGUUUUACGAGAUGUGUUGUGUGUUUGCUCUGUGUUCCAGCGCGGUGUAAUUAGGCCAUUGUCUGUUCUGAACUCCACUGUUAAAGCUCCAAGAGGUCAGCCUCCUCACGGAGUAAUAAAUGAGCUCAAAUGCAGGCAAGAGGCAGAUGCUGCUGUUUGUGACUGAAGGGGAACAGGAGAACUGUAACACACACACAACCCCUUCUGAUGAUCAGAGACGCUGUGAAGGAGAAUGAGCCUUGACUGUAGAACGUUCCCUGACAUUAAGCUACUGCUCCUUCUUGUAAACCAGCUCAGAUAUUCUGCUGGGAACAGACAGUGAUCCAACUGGAACCAGAAAACUCGUAAUUCUCCAUUCUGCAACUCCAUAAUACUGGAGCACCUGGAUCCAGAAACCCUCCCUCUCUGCGCUGUCACAGGUUGGUACGUUCCCCCCAGAACCCUCCUUGUUUUGAGGAGUUGGUAUGAUCCAGCCUGACAGAACCAGAUCUCGAGGGGGGUACAGCAUGUUUGGACAUUUAAACGAAACCAGUUGCUUUGUUAGGGACCUUCUUGUGGUUUGUUAUUUACUCCUUCCUCCUUCAAGAUCUUUCUCCCACAUGUUGAAGUUGUCUUUUCGCCUGGUGUUGAGAUAUAAAACUCACAUUUUGUUACAAAGUGUUCUGUUCUUCUCCUUAUUAUAUUAUUUUAACUCAUGCAAAGUGAAGCCAUCUGUCUGAAGCGUUUCAUUCUUUAAAUGAUCCACAAAUAUCGACCAUCUUCUUAACAUUAAUAGUUUUUGAGAGUUAUUUCAUUGCUUUUACAAAAAGUAAGGUUUAUCUGCAGUAAUAUUAAUAGAAUGGAUUUACAGUGGCGGUUUGUAGAAAACAGGCUAAAACAACGGCUAUACAGAAAACUGAGUUAGUGGUCAAAAUUU